rnacentral:rRNA from 1 species
AUUGAACGCUGGCGGCAGGCUUAACACAUGCAAGUCGAGCGGAGCGAGGGUGCUUGCACCUUAGCUUAGCGGCGGACGGGUGAGUAAUGCUUAGGAAUCUGCCUAUUAGUGGGGGACAACAUUCCGAAAGGAAUGCUAAUACCGCAUACGCCCUACGGGGGAAAGCAGGGGAUCUUCGGACCUUGCGCUAAUAGAUGAGCCUAAGUCGGAUUAGCUAGUUGGUGGGGUAAAGGCCGACCAAGGCGACGAUCUGUAGCGGGUCUGAGAGGAUGAUCCGCCACACUGGGACUGAGACACGGCCCAGACUCCUACGGGAGGCAGCAGUGGGGAAUAUUGGACAAUGGGCGGAAGCCUGAUCCAGCCAUGCCGCGUGUGUGAAGAAGGCCUUUUGGUUGUAAAGCACUUUAAGCGAGGAGGAGGCUACUUAGAUUAAUACUCUAGGAUAGUGGACGUUACUCGCAGAAUAAGCACCGGUUAACUCUGUGCCAGCCGCCGCCGUAA